rnacentral:lncRNA from 1 species
CGCAGACUUGAUCAAGAAGGGUAAGAUGUGCUGCCUCUUCAUCAACGAUCUCGACGCUGGUGCGGGUCGGAUGGGCGGGACCACCCAGUACACUGUCAACAACCAGAUGGUUAACGCCACCCUGAUGAACAUCGCGGAUGCCCCCACCAACGUGCAGCUCCCUGGGAUGUACAACAAGGAGGAAAACCCCCGUGUGCCCAUCAUCGUCACUGGUAACGAUUUCUCCACGCUCUACGCGCCACUCAUCCGUGACGGUCGUAUGGAGAAGUUCUACUGGGCCCCCACCCGCGAAGACCGUAUCGGUGUAUGCAGGGGUAUCUUCCAAACUGACAACAUCAGCGACGAGUCCGUCAUCAAGAUCGUAGACACCUUCCCAGGCCAAUCCAUCGGUACGUUCCCUGCACUCCACCGAUAAUAGUAUGCAUACAUCAAUGCAAGAGUAGUAAUUAACAAAGGAAAUGCUGAUCCCAAAACAGACUUUUUCGGAGCGCUGCGUGCCCGGGUGUACGACGAUGAGGUGCGCAAGUGGGUCAGCUCAACCGGAAUAGAGAACAUCGGCAAGAAGCUGGUGAACUCGAAGGAUGGACCGGUGUCCUUUGAGCAGCCAAAGAUGACAAUCGAGAAGCUCCUGGAGUACGGCCACAUGCUCGUCCAAGAGCAGGACAAUGUCAAGCGUGUGCAGCUUGCUGACAAGUACAUGAGCGAGGCUGCUCUGGGAGAUGCUAACUCAGAUGCCAUGAAGACUGGUUCCUUCUACGGUUAGAACACUCUUCAUACACACACCAUCUCUAGCUGCAUAGGAGGAGGUGAACUACAAUCUUUUUUUUUCUAUUUUCAGUAUCUACUUUACAUAUACUUCAAACUUGUGUACUUCCAAAAUAAAAGGGAGUGAAUUAUAAGCGACAGCGAGAAAUUAUUCUUACCUGUUCUUCUGGCACAUCAAGCUGAUCUUCUCAUUGCAUUGUGCAAAACAACUAAAUUUCAGGUAAAGGAGCACAACAAGGUAAUUUGCCCGUCCCAGAAGGUUGCACUGACCGGAAUGCCGAGAACUACGACCCAACAGCAAGGAGUGACGACGGCAGCUGCCUUUACACCUUUUAAGCAUGCCACUUUAAUUAUUCUGAUGUUUCACUCUUUGUACCUAAGUACCGCAUUGCAUCCAAGCAAUUGCUGGGCAUGAAAAGUUUUUGUUCAUAUAUAAAGAUAUUGAGUAUAUUCAUUUGGUGAACAGUAAUAUAUAUAACUACUUAUCCUUGCAGUAUUCAUUUCUUAAAUAAUUCUUAGUCUGACUCUGAUAAGUGAGGAAAGCUCCUGCUUGUUGGAAACAAAAUAGAAGUAACAAUUUGAGGUUCAGCUUGUUUAGGGUCGAGAGUUAGUGUCGCUGCUGUGCGAAUGCCAGCCCAGGAUUGAUCUCCCGUGGUCACAUCUCCGGGUGCCUCGUCUUUCUUAACUCGAUGAAGUGGCUUAAGGAGAUAGCAGAGAAAACAGAUAGUGGGGGGCGUCUGUAUAGGCAUAUACGAUUAAAGAGUGUACAGGGGCUUCUCCCCCUUAUAUCAUUCAGCUUCCGCUUGUUGUUGGACAAACAAAUGAAAGGAAAAUGGGGAGUCAAUUGCAAACAUAAAAUAGAUGCACUAUGUUAAUAUCAAACCUGCUGAUCCAACAUCCGAACUGAAAGACAAAUGAAAAGAAGCAGCUGGUUUUACCAAUGGCUCUGAAAAGCUACAUAUCCUCAAUACCUAUCUAGAUCAUGGGUGGUUCCGUAAGACCAAGAAGUGCGUGUGGCCAAGGUUGUCCACCAAUCGGUAUUUUGUGCCCUAUUGUUCAAAGCGGUCAUGGAAAGUUGCAUAUUUCAACAUCUUUGUCAAGCUGUGUAAUAGAAAAUCUAUGUGUUUGUGGUUGUGAACUGGGCAAGAUUGUUUACUAGCGCAACUGGGAAUACCAAUUCUUGUAAUUUUGAAGUCGCAUUCAGUAAAAUGUGAUGUUCGAAUUGUGAACUAAUCAAUGAGGAGAAGCAUAGGAAACUAGUAUAAAGCAAGUGUAUGCAGCUUUAAUCAUUUUGUGGACACAUGCAUAAUUUUUUUAAUGUUAUCUGUAUGUAAUAAAAGUGAGGUGACGUGAGUUACUUGUUCCAAUCACUUUGCCCAAUUUAGUUGUUGCUUAUCUUAUCACCGCAAAAGAUUUAUCACUGAGUUCUACUGUGGUGGCUAAAUAAACCAGUUUGUUCAAUCAAUCAACAACCUAAUUCAUCAGAACAUUUCUGAGACCCUUUUGGAGCGUACAAUUUUCAGUAAAUUAAGAAACAUGAGCUGCCGAAAUGUUUCGGAUCCAGUAGCUGAAACAUGUGUUUGGUGUUAUCCAAUCGAUCCAGACAACUCCAACGCAUAUCAAUGACACAGGACAAGGAAGUAAAUGGAAGGAGGGAUUACCGAACUAGAUUGCGUAGCAGUGUACUCCUCGCAAGCAAGAUAAAGUAGCAGCGGUUGGUCGCAGCAAUCGGCCUCCAUUCCCUCGACGAACAAAACACGGAAUACUGAUCAGGUAUUUCGACAAACACCUGGCAGGCAUAUCGGCGCGGUGAUGUGGUCAGAGAAACGAGGAAUCAGAAGGGGACGGAGGGAGAGCAUAUCUACAUGUAUGCUAGAUAACGGAAGCCGCGUGCGCCUGGCGCGGUGAACCUGGAAAAGCACGGCCACCGGUCAGGCGGCGGCGGCGCGUAUCAAGUCGGGUAGGAGAAAAGAGGACCGCGCGCGAUUACAACUGACUGACCCUUUUUUUUUAAAGGUAAAUGCACUGCUCGUCUGUUAACUUGGCAGGCAUGCGUAGAUUAAUCAUUGUACUUGCAAAAUGCAAAAUUCAGAUGUUACGACUUGACACGGUUGAGCAUCGGCGGUUAAAAAUACAUUUUGGUGCUGUCAACAAUUCAAUGUGGACAAAAUGGCUUGUGGCACGUCAUUUUGGGCCCAGAAACGAGUUGAAUUUUACAUAGGGACCCCUGAAUUGAUUUGGUAGGAGCUACAUUGCAAAAUUAAAAAAAAAAUAGUAUUACUCUUUCUUCCUCGAUCUGGGAAUGGCUCGGCUUGAGGUUGGAGGCGAGCUCUCCGACAGAGCCUGCAUCUGCUUCUUCUACUCUGCUCCUGCUUCUUCCACUCGGCAUAAAGCUAGAGGCGAGCUUCUCCACAGCGAUGCAGAUGGCGGUGGCGAAGGUGGCAGGGAAGCCGUCGAAGCCGAUGGCGGUGUUGUUCUGGUCCUCGUUGACGACGGGGAGGUAGAAGAAGGGCGGGUCAACGGCAAUGGAGACGAAGUGCGCCGUCGCCGCCAUUCAAGAACACCGGGCCGGUACCUCAGACGGACGUACGUGCGCGGACUAGCCGGGUUCUGCUACAGCGGCGAGUUCGAGGUGCCUAUUUGCUUAAAUGAAUGGCCAGUAGGACCCAAUUAGUCCACGUCGGCAAGCCACAUCACCUUCUGAAUCUAUGAAUUCGUAAUUUGACCACCGAUGCUCAACUAUGCCAAGUUGUAACCUCGAAUUUAGCACUUUGCAAGUACAAUGACUAAUCUGCACAUGUCGACCAAGUUAAUAUACCGGCGGUGCAUUUACCUCCGUUUUUUUAGAACUACUACUGGCUCACUGAGUCGUCAUUUUGUUUGGGGUGGACUUGGUUGGGCUGGAUCGACGGCAUACGGCCGGGUGCGCGAUUAGAACUUUGUGUAGGCCUCUCAAAAAAUAAAAAGAACUUUAUGUAGGAUUCGCUAAAAAAAACUUUGUGUAGGUAGAAGCCAACGGUUUCGCUGAAAAAUAUAUGGAGUACCAUAAAACCCAUAUUUUUGAACAUUUAUUAUCAGAGAGCCAUAAUUCUGAUUUUUUUUCGUUUUUUUUACCGGAAACUGUAGGAGGCCCAGAGAGAGAGUCUAUUUCAUUAAAAGGUGUUAUUUACAGGGUUUAUAUUAACAGAGCUAAGGUAGAGACCUCAACCAAAGAAGAAAAGGAGCUAUCCAGGGUGGCUUAAAGUUAAGCUGAAGCAAGGAGAUAUCUUCAACGAAAUCUCUUUUCCAAGCUCUAAAACUAGGUCUUGUGCCUUAAAAAAUCCAGUUGUUGCGCUGCUUCCAAAUAUUGCCAACAACUCAUGACAGCCACUUCCACAAAGAAAAGGUGACCAAAUUCUCACUGAGUGUCUCAGAUGAUUUGCUUGAAAUCCACUCCAGGAGACCACAAGUGAAGUCAUUAGUAACAUGCCAAUGCCUCCUCUCCAACAUAUCUGUGGUGUUCAAACGAUCAUUCAUCAGCAGCCAGACAAACACCUUCACUCUAGGUGUGAGACCACUCUUUCACACUCUCAUCAACUCGGGUCGUGAUGUGAUCAAAAUUCAAUCCAUAUCUCUCUUUGAGGAGAAAUAAUUCUCUCCCCAAGAAUAGCUCCACCCAUCCGACUAAUCAUGUUGAAUAUUGUCAAAAAGAUAGGAAGCGAGCACAAUCAUUUGCUAAUAUGUUAAAAAAAACCCUAUAAUUGGCAAUCAAGCAAUCUAACGGUAGAUUUGGCCUUUUUCCUUGUCAAUUCAUUGAUGGGGUAGCGGUUCGUUUCAUGUCUUGUCUUGCAAGGGGUAUGUCACUUUUUGAGGUGAGCGGCUCAUAUGGCCAUUGAAAACCCAUAAGAUUAGUCAAUUUUGAAGGACUAUGAUGGAGCUUUUAGUUUUAUCGAAAAUUUCCGUUCUUUACGUUUUGUUUCGGUUGUACCGAUCUCUAUUGUUCUUCUUUUAAUUUAUCAUAUAUAAUUAAAGCCGCAUUGGUGUUCUAGAAAAACUUUGUGUAGGGAAGAUUUCCAUAAAAAUAUAUAUUGAAACUUUUAAAUAGAUAAUUUUCUAAAAAGGUAUAUUUUACGUUCUACAAUUGUCACGAAAGUAUAUUUUACGUAAUUUUAUAAUUGAAAUAAUAUAAAGAAUUGAAGAAAAAGAAAACGAACCAACUCACCAAUCAUCAUCGCUUACACUGACAGUGCCACAGUGGAAGAGAAUGCUUUUCUGAUUUGGAAAGCGAUCGACUGCUCAACAUGCAUGAUACGCUUGCUUUAUCAUGCAUGAAUCAAAUACUAGAUAGAUAUCUGAAUAUGUUGGAUACGCACGCACUUCCAUAAGAUAGACAGGCUACGAAUAAAGCAAAAGAGACGAUGGGACUUGGGUUCUUCUUUUCUGCAAUUCUAUAUAUCCAAACUUCCAAACAGCAAUCAGUUAACUAGGUAAAGCUAGAAGCCCCGACCGCAAGCAAAGAAUAGAUCCUGGGGAAGAAGAUCGAUCACAAUCCCCAAAACGAGAACAAAAAAGAAAGGGGAACUAAAGGAGGUGCGUUGCAUUGCAGGGGAAUUAACCAACACCUUUAGAGGAGUUAGUCUGUUCUCUCUGACGGACCUGACUGUCGUCACUCGUCAGUCAAUGCACAUUCAGUAGCUCACUCACAUGUGCAUUUCUUCAGAUAAUUAUUGCAAUUUGCAAGCAGAUAAAUUUGUGAAUUCUCAAGUAAAUAAUUAACUGUAAAGACUACAGAGUACAGCUUGAAAUUGAGAUUUGCCAUUACCGACAAAGGCUUUCUCCAGUCAGAACGCAUGAACUUGACUGAUCAAAUACUCCACUGGCCUUCAGACAUCCAAGGGAGAAUAAAUAGAGACAAAAUAAAUCAUAAAUAAAAUAGUUAAAGGUUUAUGCAGAGGAACAAAGCGGCAGCCUACAAGAGGGCUACUUGUUUAUUCCUUCAAUAAUCAAAUUAAUCUCUCCUAAUCUAGACCCACAGCUAGCUUUGCUUCCCAAUUAUUUUGUUUGCAUAUGGUUACUACUUAAGGCCACCACACUCCUUGAUCUCCUUCCAUCUCCCACUUGAGAGCUCAAGUGCUCAACACAAGCUCACCAUGGCCUUCUCCUUCUUCUUCCCUGACAACAAUAAGCUCCUCUUCCUCCUCCUCAUCUCCAUUGCAAUCACCAGCAUGACUACUCAAAACCAAGCAGAAGCAGCAAGCGGCCACAUCCAACUGAUCAUGGUGAACAACUGCGCCGAGUCAGUGUGGCCAGCCCUGCUAGGAACAACCGGCCACGUCACGCCGCAGUCCGGCGGGUUCCACCUGGGCGCCGGCGAGGAGCUCACCUUCAACGUCCCCCUCAUGUGGUCGGGCCGCGUGUGGCCGCGCCGGGGCUGUGCCUUCGACGCGCACGGCAACAGCACCAACGGCAGCCGCUGCACGACUGGUGACUGCGGCGGCGUCCUCCGCUGCGCCGGAAACCCCGGCGCGGCCCCGGCCACCGUGAUCGAGAUGACUCUAGGAACACCAUCUUCCCCAGUGCACUUCUACGACGUGAGCCUGGUGGACGGCUUCAACGCGCCGGUGUCCAUGGCGCCCGUGGGCGGCGGCAGGGGCUGCGGCGUGGCCGCGUGCGGCGCUGACCUCAACGUGUGCUGCCCGUCGGCGCUGGAGGUCAGGGACAGGGAAGGGAGGAUCGCCGGGUGCCGCAGCGCGUGCGGCGCCAUGGGCGGCGACCGGUACUGCUGCACCGGGGACUACGGCACGCCGGCGGCGUGCAAGCCCACCAUGUUCGCCCACCUGUUCAAGGCCAUCUGCCCCAGGGCAUACAGCUAUGCCUUUGACGACGCCUCCAGCCUCAACCGGUGCAAGGCCAGCAGAUACCUCAUCACUUUCUGCCCACCACAACCUCAAUACUAAUGAUCCAUCAGCAUCCGCCCAACCUCUAUCACUUUCAUUCUCUUAUAUGUAUGAUGUAUACAUUUCUGAAUCCAGACACGAACUGAAUAUAUCAUCAACAGCUGCAAAGCCAACAGAUAGUAUAUAUCAACUGAUCAUCAAAUUUCGAACAAUCAGCAAGUCUGAAAAAUUAUCUGAUGAUGCAUUGAGUUCUGACGAAAUUGUAGAUAGUCCACAGGCCUGAAAAGUUAACAGUACCACCGGCCGACACAACAGACUUCACAGUACUAGAAAUUGCUGACAUAGAGGUUCCAAGUCACAGCCUCAUCACAGGAAGGCACAAAAGGUAACAUAGACAGGUAACAGGCAGAGGCAGAGGCAGCUUAGCCAAAGUGCGGCUGAGGAGGAGGCGGCGGCGGCGGUGCUGCGAAGAAAGUCGGCGUCCUCUUGAGGAGAUUGUUGACAUGCGUCACCAGGCGUUUCCCGAGGGCGUUCUUGUUCAGCGUGUCGGCGUUGCGCCUCACCGCCUCCGCGAACACGCUGAACUCCCAUUCAUCUGCCGCGUCUAUCAUCUUCUGCACCACGUAGGUUGCAGUCUCAUGGAUCAUCAUACUCUGCACAAUGUACACCAGGGAACCACACACAAGAUUUGUUAUAUAGUUACUCCUCUUCUCCACUUGCUUUACUACCUUCGCUACCUAGGCGCAUGUUGUUAAGGAACAGUUAGUGAUCUUACCACGAGAUGAUCUGCAGUCUGUCCAUCCCCAGCGCACAGGAACUCAGUGAUGAUGAUCUUGCGGUCCUGGUAGCUGCCGUACAUCAGGAGCUUCUCGAUAACAUUUGCAGAGUAUUUCUGGUGGCUCAGCUCCACAAAGCGCCCCACAAAUUUCAUCAGGAUGGUUUGUCGGUCACUAGGCCCUCCAUUCUGCACCAUGUGCUGCAUGCAAAAAAUGACGAGGCGUAAAAUAUCUGUUUUUCGCUAAGCGGUUGUUUCAUCAACUGCAAGCCACUGCACACACUUGAUUUAAUUUACCUGCACGACGUAGGUGCCAAAUUUGUCCGCCGACAGCUCGUCGACGUUCUCCACAAUCUCCGCGGCAAUAGGAUACAGAAGCGGCGGGUCCUUACAAAAGUCCAGCACUUUCUGCAAAGAUCAUGAAGCGUGAUGAGCAAAUACAAAUAAUCAAGUCAUCACAAGAUAAGAGGAAGCAGUAAAAAACAAACAAACCGAUAACCUGAAUGAUACGACAUCCGUACUGAUGAGAGGCUAUCGUCUUGGCCUUCCCACGUAUACUUCUGUAGAUGAAAUGGAUAUACUGUUCGGGCACACACUCCAUGCAUUUCUGGACUACAUGGUUCCCAUGUUGGUCACGGACACAUCUCUGCAGGUUCGUAUUAAGCUCCUUGGCGAUCUCUAUCUGAUGGUCAAUGUGGCCUAUUUCAAAUGCCUGAAAAAGGAGACAGUACAUGAGAAAAAGUCUGAUCCACAACAAGUUUACAAAAGGCAACUUAAUUAUUUACAUCAUGAUACAUGUUGCAAAAGCCAGAGGAUUCAGUUUACCUUUUCGAUUACUAGAUGACCAUACUGAUGAACGCUUAGGGCUAACACAUGCCCGAUAAGAUUGCGGACCAGCCUGUUUCUGUAGGGUUCUGGUCCAUGGUCAAGAAGCUGGUGAAGAAGGCACAAGGUAAGUGUUAGACUGUAUGAUCGAUUAAGCCGUACAUUACAACAGUGCUCCUAUAAGAUGAAAACCGAAAUAAAUGAGUUUGGGGAAGAAACCUUCAUGAUAGCAGAAUUGGCAAACACAUUGUAGACCAGUCUGGGCACUUCAGGCGUAAUUUCAUUAUACAGCAGCACUAUUUCCCCAGUAGUUGCGAUGUCAAGCUUUUUGGUUAUAAAACGGCUUCCCACUGGAUGGACACUGCAUUUAAAAUACAACAAAGGGUUUAGCCAUAGAAUGUCACAAUAUAUAUCAAUUGCUUCAAGGAAUACAAUAGGAUGCAUAAUCUUAUGGACAUAGAUACUGAUUGAAAUCACUGCUUAAUUUUGACAAAGGAAACUGGGGGCUGAAUGAGUUAUGUACAUGUACCUGAGAGCAGGCACUUGGCCCUUGAGAUUAAUGAUACGGAUAGGCUGCUCCCCUGGAAACUUGAUCCGGUGAAGAAGGGAGCCAAACACUGAAUCCCUGCUCUCCAGUCCACUGGCAAGAUUGAAAAUAGGGUCCACUCGGCCGACAGUAUACGCGAGCUCGACAUCGCGAGCAUAGUGAUUCUUCACAGCGUCAGGAGACUGAUGGAAGACUUUGGAGGCAACCUCCUGGUCUGGAUCAAAAAGUGCACGGAGCAAUCCCAUCUGAACCGCCAUCAUGUCAGGGAAUUUGUUUGGUCGCACACUCGUUGAAGAAGAAGAAGACUGCACAGCAAGAUCCCCGGCAGCACCAUUGUUUGGUACUGUAAUUUGGGAGUGUUGCUCGGUGAGGGAACUGCUUGAAGAGGAAGCAGCAGAAGACUGCACAUCAGGAACCCCAGCAGCAUCCUUGCUUGGUACUGCAAUUUGGGAUUGUUGCUCGGCGAGUGCACUGCUUGAAGAGGAAUCAGCAGAAGACUGCACAUCAGGAACCCCAGCAGCAUCCUUCUUUAGUACUGUAAUUUGGGAGUGUUUCUCGGCCAGUGCAUUGCUUGAAGAGGAAUCAGCAGAAGACUGCACAUCAGGAACCCCAGCAGCAUCCUUGUUCGGUACUGUAAUUUGGGAGUGUUGCUCGGCGAGUGCAUUGCUUGAAGAGGAAUCAGCAGAAGACUGCACAGCGGGAUCCCUGGCAGCAUUCUUGUUUGGUACAGUAAUCUGAGAUUGUUGCUCGGCGAGUGCACUCCUUGAAGAAGCAUCAGAAGACUGCGGCAAAAUGGACCCAGUAGUGUCAUGCACCUUCUGAUUAUCUGGAUCAGUCAACACUUCACUGCUUCGAGCAUCCUGCAAAGUAGGAAGCAGCAAUGUUUAAUUAUUACCUUAACGUGAAUUUCUCAUGGUAUAAAAUACAGCCAGGAGGCACAACAAACAUCAAUGACAAAAGUGUCAAGAACUAGGGAUCAUAUGGUGGUUUCAAGCCUUCAAGGGAAAUUUCCAUGCAUAUGUAUGUUACCUGUAUGAUACCAAUUGCUAGCUCACUGUUCAGUGUGGAUCACACAUAAUUGUUACUUAGAGAUAGAUACACUCUAUUCAAAGUAAAGUUAUAAAUUUUUUACUACAAAUAUGGUCAAAUGUUUAAAUCCAACAUAACAAAAACUGAAGCUCAUGUGUUUUCUGUAGUACUCCCUCCGAUCCAUAGUAAGUGUAUUAUGGAUCGGAGGGAGUAGUAUAGAAGCACACUGUACCACACUAUCUACAGAACAUAUUUUUGGCAAUCAGUCAAUAUUAUAAAGAGAUCCCUAUAAUAAAUGCCCAACUUAAUUAGCGAAAUACCAUGAUUUUAUGUCCCAAUUUUGAGGGUCACUCCAUGCCAUGAUGACUCUGGCGCAAGGCCGGUCCUGGGAUUUUAGGGGCCAGAGGCAAAAUAGAAAUAUAGGCCCUCUAUUAAAAAAAAAAGCUAAAUAUGGCUUCAAAUUUUCAGCACGAAAGCUAACUUUUGUGACAAACUUGUGAUUGAAUUAGAACUGGAUUGUUAAAAGUGAUGGUCCAGAUAUAUCCUAAUAUUUUCAUGAGACGCUGCAUAAGCAAGUAUGUAUUAUGAACAAACAGAAAAUCGUUAAGUGUUGCUAACGAGGAAAAACUCUAAAAUGUCGACACUAGCAGCAAAAGCAUAAGGCCUGCAUUACCACCAUCAAUCAUAGGUAGAUUAACUAGACUCCAAAUGUCAAGCAAUUUCUUUACCUCCUUAGAAUUUCACAAAGAUAGAUGUAAAUUUCAGUUGAAAAAUUGUGCUCACCUUCUCAUGAUCUGGAGUCAACAGUUCACUGCUUCGAGCAUCCUGAAGUCAAGCAAUUUCUCUAUCUCCUUAGAAUUUCAAAAGGAUAGAUGUAAAUUUCAGUUGAAAAAAUUGUGCUCACCUUCUCAUGAUCUGGAGUCAACACUUCACUGCUUCGAGCAUCCUAAAGUCAAGCAAUUUCUCUAUCUCGUUAGAAUUUGAAAAAGAUAGAUGUAAAUUUCAGCUGAAAAAUUGUGCUCACCUUCUCAUGAUCUGGACUCAACACUUCACUGCUUCGAGCAUCCUGAAAAGGAGGAAACAGCAACAUUUCAUUAUUACCUUAACAGGAAUUUCUCAUGGUAUAAAAUACUGCCAGCAGGUACCACAGCAAUGACAAAAGGGGCAACGAACUAGGGAUGAUAUGGUAGCUUCAAGGGAAAAUUCCAUGCGUAUAUAUGUUGCCUGUAUGAUACUAAUUGCUAGCUCACUAUUCAGAGUGGAUCGCACAUAAUGUUGACUCAGAGAUAGAUACAGUCUAUUAAAAGUAAAAUUAGUAAAAAAAACUAAGAUACAGUCAAAAUGUUUCAAUCCAACAUAACAAAAAUAAACCUCAUGUGUUUUCUUGAGUAGUAUAUAAGCACAUUGCGACCACACUAUCUACAGAACAUACAUUUGGCAACCAGUCAAUACUAAAAAGAGAUCCCUGUUACAAAUGCCUAACUUAAUUGGUGAAAUACCAAGAUUUGUCCGAAUUGAUGUAGAAUGCAAAGUUCCAGGGCUUGUUUUUUUUUAAGGGCAUGUGAGAGGAACACAUUUUUACACUAAGAUAGAAUAAGAAUCAGACUUUUUAAGAACUAUUUUUCACAAACUCUGAGAGGUGAAGUUAGUAAAUAUAUGGUAGAGACCCCCAAAAUGCAUGGCAAGAGCCAACUUAGUUAGAAAAAGGCUUCACACUGAAAUCACUAUUGCUAGCAGAUGGCCAGAACUAACUCUGUGCCAUGAUGACUCUGGCAAGGUCGGUCUUGGGAUUUGGGGGCCGGGGCCCAAGACGAAAUAGGAAUAUAGGCCCUCUAUUGAAAAUCAGAAAAAGCUCAUAGUUCUAAGACAAUGAUUCCUAAAUGGCAAGGGGAUUUGAGGGUCGUCCCCAACGGCAGCGGCGGCAAGAUGGACCAAGCAACAGUGGUUAAAAUGUCGUUGACCGCGAUUAGGGAGAUUUCAUCUAUGGCUGCCCUCACUUGUCUUGGCUGACCACUGUAGCCACUGGCCUAGGCAAGUUAUGCAACAAAGGAGGGGGCAUAUAGGGGCAACAAUGGCCGGGCAUCGGCACCAGCGGCGAGAGAAACUAUUGAACGGACUGCCUCGAUGCGAACUAGUAAGAACUCGCCUCAUACCUUCAUUUGUAUGCCUGAAUUCCCAAAUUAAACCCUAACCCUAGAAACUCACCUGUUCAGGCAAGUCAUGGGGAGGACUACUCCAACUUGAAUUAUCGGUCGAGAUCACCAUAUCUAGGAGGGCGCGCCGCAGAGAAUCCCGAGGCAGCGGCGGAGGAGGAGGGCGAGGCAGUGGUGGUGGAAGAGGGCGAGGCGGCGGCAUAUAGCUAUGGAUGUUGUGCGGGGUUGAGGACUGAGAGUGAGGGUGGUCGGACCAACUUGGUUGGGUGAAGACCGAUAUAUAAAGGGGCUCGGACCGGUUGGCCACGUUUGCGUUGUACUGGACCUGAUGGAGGAUCCAUAUCAGAUUUCCUAUCAAAACACGAUGAAUCGAGAGAUCAGUGGGUUCCCUGACCUGUAUCCACAAAACUGGUCAUUUGGAAAAAUAAAUAAAAACCAAGUGGUCACGUUAGACAAUUACCUAAUGUGACAUAAUGAUACUGAGUGCUAACAAUGUAUAAAAAUUCUUAGAGGUGCUACCGUGGGUUGGUAGCAUAGUAGCACCUAAAGGGGUGGGACCACAUGAUCUCUUCACCACUAUGAAGGUGGGUUCUAGUAGAGAAAUGCCAUAGCCACACGUAGUAACUAAAAUUCAGAGAGGGGCCACGCGACUCUACUGACCGGCCGAUGUUUUGUUGUUAUUGGGGUAAUACUCUAGCAAACUAUUUACAGAUGCACAUGGUUAGGCCGAUGCCGCUCACAGUUUGGGGGGGGGGGGGGGGGGCUUGGGGCGAUCACACUGGGUGCAUUACCUCAGGGCCGGCCUUGCUCUGGCGCAAUACUUAGCGUCCUCGGUGCGCCACAUCCUCUCUUCAGCAGCCGCUGCCACCACAAUCCACCACCCCCAACCAAACCUAAGAAAGUCAUAACCACUGCAACCGUCUUUCUCCAAUCCCACAACCAGCAUCAUCACCACCAGAUCGACGCAACUCACUGAAAUUCUACAUGCAGGAUCCCAACAAACCAUAAACCUAACCCUACCAGUAGCUUCAGCCUUGCCUAAUUAGAAUGUUAUGUGUUGAUCUGAGUGCACUGCUGGUACAUAAAUACUUGCUUAAGCGGAAAUCAAGUUACCUCCUCCAUUGUAUGGUUCACUACAAGAUCCAUGGAGUCUCAAUAUCAGAUCUAACUACAACCGUGGCGGUGAUGGGAAUGGAGUAGUGAGUGAGUAGGAUGACGAAAGUAUAAAUAUAAGGGAUAUAUGAGCCCAUUUACAGUUACAUCAUAAAUAUGUUUUCAUGAUGGAUGAUUGGAGGCCCGACACCUCGAAUCCGUAAGCCCAACAUCAGAAGAACUUCUAAGAUUGAUAUCACAAGUUUAGCUCAAACUUGUGAUAAUAGCUCACUCAAACUUACCCAACCAGCCUAACACUAAAGCCCAAUUAGCACAACCACACUCCUAGGGCUAGAUUGGGUCGACCAAGGAUGGAAACAGGCCACUUUUCACCAGGUAUUGUCCAUUGAAAAGCGCAAUGAAGUUAUGGAGCUUAGAAAAUACGUUGGAUUUGUUUUGUAAUGGGAAAGUCCAGGCGAAGUGGCUAAAAUCGUCAAGAGUGACUAGUUAAUACGAAUAACUAGACAAGCUAGGGACGGGCGAAGUUGGCCAUGUCUAGGAUGGCAUGCCGCAGAGAAUCCCGAGGCGACGACGGAUAGCUAUGGAUGUUGCGCGGGGUUGAGGACUGAGAGUGAGGGUGAUCGGACCAACUUGGUUGGGUGAAGACCGAUAUAUAAAGGGUAUAAAUAUGAGAUAUGAGCAGGUCAUACUUUGUGGCCUCUUUUCCCAAACUUACACAUACAUCGCAAUGCACUAGAUGAAAAAGGAAGAUUCAAUACAUGCACAUAGUCUAGAAAUGGAAAUCGAAAUUUCUGCCUAACUAACAUGAACAACAGGUAUGCGACGAGCGCCUGGGAAAAGUGGGCACUACAAUGCACAUGGUCACGAGAGCUGAGCAUCCCGGGUGGUUGAGGCGUCUUGCUAGUCAUCAGCUGAAGCGGCGAUGUGGAGACUGAUGUGUGGACUUGAGAUGAUCGGGUAUAGGUCGCCGGUCGACUCACCCUGGAGGAUCACCUAUUCAACUGCUUGGUCGCCUGUCCUUGACAAAAAAAACGCGUUAAAUUUGAUGGUGACAAGGUUGUCGCGGAUGAGAGAUUUGACGGAGAUCAUUUCUUUUACAACAGGGGAAAAAAAUGUUGGUGAGGUGGAUUGGUUGGGUUUGGGUGGGAAUGGAAAGAGCUCUGGUUUGUGUGAUCGGUAUACUCGACCCGUUGUAUACCACAAUGUGAGAAUUAACGUGAGAGGGGUUUGAGAGAGUAGAUCAUAGCCAAGGAGGAACACAUGUGGACUAGUUGCCAGGGGACACUGGAGUCGAGAGCAAGGCAGCCAUGGCGUUGAGCUGCCGCCUGGAUGAGCGCAGUCUGUUCCCAAGCUAGGCCUGAGGGAGGCAUGGGAGAUGUUGCCGAGGGCGAUAAAUAGUGCAUGCCGACAAAAGCUGCCAUACUUCCGAGGCUUGGCCCGAGGAUGCCAGCACUCGAAGCUUGUUAUCGCCACAGGACCAGCCAUGAGUAGAUGAAUCUCCAUAGGGGGUGUGGAUUGUCGUUCAGCGGCACACCGUAGGAAGUAGAGUCCCUACCAUUGUUCUUGCCCCGCAGCUGCUUUCCCUUUAUCAACAGGUACUUUGUACGAAAUCUCAAAUAAACUUGCCAUUAGUAGCAAUCCACAUUUAGAAGGCAGAGUCGUGUCAAGGCAAACAAUCAGCGCUUGAUAGUGCUAGGGUUUUCGCUGUGUGAACUACGGAAUUCAAGGCUAUAAGAUAACAACAUACAACCAGUGAUUGGUCAUGUUGCUACCUAGGAGUGCCAGUCUUGGUGCUUUGUGUUCACAAAACAUACCAAGGAAGACAAAAAAUUAACGUCCACCGUCCAUAACAAUUAAGCAAUGGUUUAGGACACAUCAAUGCACUAACAAAAAUUUGAAUGGUUACUGAGGUGCCUUUAGCAACUUCGCCUCUUCUAGCACGAUGUGUCCAUUUCCCGUAGGUUCUCAUGCAUGCGUGUGUCCUUGCCAAAAAAAAACUCAUGAUGUUGUACAAUAUACUAUGUGUGUUUGAUCUAGCACCCUGGUAUGAGUGGAAUAGUCAAAAUAUGUGUGAACAGUUAGUCGCAUCACUAGUACAAAACAUGCCAUCACGUAUAGUUAAAUAUUGAUAUGGCACAUGGUUUACUAGACUACCACCUUGCUUCCGUGGACGAUAAAACACAGUCAUCGCACACGGUCUCGAGAGCAUGUGCGAUAUGGGCAUCAUCAUACAUAGUUGAGACACGAAAACCUUAGGGGAUGUGCAUGAAUUACAAAAAAAGCGGUGGCACCGUUCCAUUGUUCUCUCGCUACCAUUGUUCUCUAUCGACGGUACAAAGGUGGAUCUCGUCCGUAGGCAACAAAUUUGUUGAAGUUGUCACUGUCGACGCACCGUUCCUAUUUAUCCCCGCCCCAAGACUCCUUCAUGUUGUCCUUUGUGCUAGCCACCAUCAGAGCCAUGACCUCCUUCAAGUUCACCAACGACACAUCCUCUAGAAGACUCGGCUCCCAUCGAUGCUACUCGGUCGGAUCUGGUGCAAGGGGAAGUGCCGCGCUGCCUCCAGGCCUCAGCAAGCUUCUGGCCAUGAGAUCAAGAAGGGACACAAAAAGAUGGAAGGCAUAGUUCUUACCAGUCUUCGUACCCAUGCCCUAGAUUCUAAAGAGGCGGAGGCCCUAGAGUAUUGCGCCCAUAAGCAAAUCCUUGUCAACCUCUGCAAUUGUGACCAUGGUGUUGUAGUUUGUGGGGGUAGCUAGGCCGUCUUGUGCAAGUACUUGACGGCCUUGCUGGUGAUCAUGCCGAUAAGCCCGACUGCCCCAUGCGCAUCCCCAGGACGUCGGGCCUAGCUCUCUCCUUGUAUAGUUGACAUUGCUUUCUUUGAGCCCCUUUUGGGUCCCUUUGUUGUUGCCUUGUUUGUACUUGUGCUUCUUGCGCUUUCUUUUUAAUGGAAAAGAAACCUUACUCGGCAUGUUCGAGAAAGGAAAAGAAAAAGAAGCUCGACUGCCGCCAUGAAGAGCAAGCAGUUGCAAUAGUAGGGUGACUCCGAGGACGGGAGCUGCCACCUAGAUCGAUUGAGAGAGAGAGGACGGAGGCCAAACGGAGAUGGGGAGAGAAAUGGAGGGCGUCGGUGCCUGAACUCCGGGAUGCUUGGCACCCCCUUUUUGUUCAGUGGUGGCGCUGGAACUGCUCUGCGCGGGCUCCACGCACACAAAGUUCACAGCAGUGUUUGCGUAAAAUUAAGAUAAGAUGAGCAACAGUGAAUGAAAGUUCGUAAGGUUAACAGUAAUAUGAGGCUUCCCUAAAAGAAAAUGAAAAGUAGAGAUAAGAUGUGGUGUUGGAAAGGCAAAAUUCUCUGUAGCGAAGAUAAGAUGAGCAAUAGCAGAACAAGAAGAACUGCAUCCAGAUGGCUUGGGCUGGAAUUCGAUCAGAUCGCCCGUACCAAAUUACCCGGUAGUGCGGCUCCUGGAUGGGUCUUCGGCUCGACCACCCUUAUCCUUCCUUCCGCUCCGUCUCCGGUCUCUUCUCCGGCGCCGGUAACCUUCUUCGCUUCGCUGCCGCCGCACCAUGCGAGAGAGAGAGGGGGAGAGAAGAAGAUGGAAAGAUAGAGACACGUUUUGAGGGCGUGCCCCAGAAAGAAACAAGUAAGUGGGCCGUCUUAGGUUACAUCUGGCCCAAUUCCCUAAAAAGAGGUGUAAUCUGGCCCAAAGUGGUGGGCUUUUUAAAGCCCCAGAAAAAGAAUCGACACCAGACUGAGCACUUUUCUUUUUGAGAAAAAAAAAGACUGAGCACUUUUCAAUCUCCACCGAUUGGAAAAAAACAAUUCACUCUGUUCUCAAAAAAAAGGAAAAAAUAACUCUUGUUCCUGAUCUCAAAAAAACAAGUUUGGAUAGAUUUAGAGUCCAUCCAUAUUUUCUUCCAAAAAGUAUAAAGGAAAAGGAAAUUAAUAAGCGAAAAUAUAUGCAUAUGGCAGUAAUUAAGAGACAUACCACACUACAUUAAUAAAAUAAAAGAAAGAAAACAAAUUAUCGUAUAUCAGUACAGGUGCAAGACAUAUAAGUACAAAAUACACGUAUGCAAUGAAUCAAUACUAGCCAGCCAGUACUCUAUGCAAAUGCCAGGCAGUAAAUUAAUCAGCUCUAACUAUACAAGCUCCAAGCCAGGAUAUAUACGUCUGCAUAUGAUCGGAAAUCAUUAAUGGGGUAAUUAAUUAAUGAAUCAUUACCUGAUUAGAGGCCAGCCGUAGAGAAGGGGGUGUAUGCUGCAGGAGGUCUAGGAUGCGGCUCCUUAGGCGGCCGCCGCCGGCGGUGAGAGCAGCAGCGUCCACGUCUUCCCAUAUCUCCUUAUCUCUGCUACGACUGCCACCUGAAUCCUUCUUCUUCUUCUUCUUCCAUUCCAACACCACCUUGGACUUGCCCUUGUUAUCCAUCUCUGUCGUCUCUCCUUAUUUGCAUCAAGUAAUACACAACGAGUAAAGAUUAAUCCAUCACAGAUAUAUACAAAAGCUAGUAUGUAUAGAAACGAUCGAGAGCAAGAUGUAUAUAGAUCAGCAAAGUUGAUUAACAUUAGAUGGAGACUAAAAAGUGUGGAUCUAGUCAUCUAGACCAAGGAAACAUGGAUCUAGUUGAGAUUUACUCCAGAUGGAUGCACGUAUAUAAGGAAAAUGUUAAGAAGAGAUCAAAAUUCAGCGAAACUAUACAUGUAUAAAGAUAAGUAACACACAAGAGCAAGAUGUACACGGAUCAGAAAGUUGAUUAACAUUAGAUGGGGGAUAGAUCUAGUCAUCUAGACCAAAGGAAACAUGGAUCAAGUUGAGAAUUACUCGACCGAGAAGAGAAUUUAUAACAACAGAACAAGAUUAAACCAAAACUAUACAUGUAUAAAGAUAUGGCUUACCUGAAAGUCGGGUUAAUCGGAGAGGCCCCCUUCUGAUGGACACAAACAGCAGAUCGAGAUUAGUAGGAGGAGUAGAAGAGAGACUGAAACGGCAAGAGAUACACUAGCUAUGUAGAAACAAGAGCAAGAUGUAUACAGAUCAGCAAAGUUAACAAACAUUAGAUGGAGACUAGAGCGUAGAUCUUGGGCAAGGAAACAUAGAUCUAGCUAUUUGAGAACUUGAGAUGUAUACAUACAUACAUACACAUAUAUAAGCAAAAUUCUAACAAAGCAAAUCAAGAUGAAAGGAAACUAUACGAGAACAAGAGCGUGCAAGGGUCAAUCAGGGAGACCUUCUGAUGGACGCGAUCGAAGAAGGAACACGAAGCGGCAGAGAGUCGUACGAGGAGAAGACAAAGGCUUGAGACUGAAAUGGUAAGAGAGAUAGAUAGAGAUGUGCAGUCUAAAUAGCGAGAGAGGGGGGGGGGGGGGGGUAGCGGGGGUCACGUGUGUGUAUUCCGCUGAAAUUGAAACGGAAAAACUGAUAUGAUUAAUGAUAUGAGCUAUCCACUGGCUGUACAUGGUUGCGUAUACUAUACGGUCCACAUAUGGGGCUGGCUAGCUUUGUAUGUGAUCCCCGCCGUAGUGCAGUUCAUGCAGCCCAUGCAUGCACGCACGCAUGCAUGCAAAAUAAGCGCCCAGCGUUGAGAAAAUAGAAGAACAAAAAAAUGGUUCAAAAUUUGAUCAAACUAGGGAUGUGAGCGGUUAAUUUGGAGAUCAUAUCAAAACCUUGACAUGGAACGCUUUUUUUUCAAGUGUAAUUUGUUUCAGACAUGAAAGUCAUAAAAUCGAGGAAAGGGGGGGUGCAAAAAAAUAAAAGGUUCAUGCAUGCAGGAACAAAGGUUCAUGGCUCACCUGCAAGAUCUAGCCGGAGGUCGCUGGCUUGUUGCAGGAUGUUGCCUUGGAUGCUGCACGGGAUGUUCGAUUCCACAAGGAUGGCUCAUCGAUGAUCGAUCUCAGCAAAAGGAUAAGGGUUCUAUCGGCUCCUCCUGACCCCAUUGCCCAAUGGAUUUAGACUUGGGAUGUUCCCAACAAGGUGCAUAUCUUCGGAUGCAUGGUUGAUGCAUGCAUGUUCAGUGACUGCCUCGAUCGACACCUGCAGGAAAAAUUAAAUCUACACCGCAAGAACCUGCUACCAAGUGCUCAAUGUGCAAGAUUUUUUUUCAAUGUGCAAGAUGCCUCAGUUCGUACGAAGAUCGCUAGCUGCCACCUUUUCCUCGCGUGCCCUGCUCGUGGCAGACCUAACCUCCAUCAUCUGGCCAUUAAUCAUCCUAUAUAUAUAUGGCGCAUUUGGGCCGCUCGGAAUGCCAAGUGUUCUCCGAUGAAGUUGUUCAGGUUUCACGAUCUUUGCGGUUCAUAAUUAAGGACCUUACCUUGUGGACUUUUAGAUUGAAAAGCAUUGAUAUAAAAGAUAUAUAUAUAUAUAUAUAUAUAUAUAUAUAUAUAUAUAUGUGGCUGAUCCAUACUAGUAUUAUCAUUCAUACAUAGAUAUUAGUGUGUGGGACCAGGGGCGGGCCCAGGAUUUUUCCGUGGGUAUUCAUAAUUGUUCUGAAUAUUUGCUAGUCAAAAUUGCAAAUACUUGUGUCUCUGAACGAGAGUUCGAGUCGUUGUUCUCUUGUGCGUAACACAGAGCGCAUGUAAAAACGUGGAACGGCAGGAGCGCCGAAUACGUGGCAGAGUAAAUAAAGAAGCAGAAAAGCAGUCACUAGGUUUUUUUGACUCGGAGACAUGUGUUGGGGAUUUAGAAGGAGGCGAGAAGGUGCCAGGGUGUAGAUCGACAUCAAUAAAGGUCGUACGAGACUACGAGUAUCGAGCAGACAAUUCGAUUUCUAGGAUCGAAAAUUCUAUUUCGACCAUUGGUCCAACUUGGAGGAGGAAGGAGAGAGAUGGAGCGGUGCAUUUUUAGACUCACUGCAGGAAUACCCUUGAGUUCCAUUCCAAAAUCUUGUUUACUCCAGAAUAUAUAGUAUAUAUAUUCGGUUUUUUGCAAAAUUUGAUGGGUAUUCAAUUGAAUACCCUUGAAUAAAGCUGGGCCCGCCCAUGUGUGGGACCAAAACCUGACACUGACAAAGGUUUUUUAUGAAUUGUUUGUUUCAGACAUCAAAGUGAGAAAAUUAAAGGAGGUGAAAAUAAAUGGUUCAUGAAUGCAGGAACAAAGUGGUAGAUUACAAUUUUUCUUCUUCUCUAAAAGUGGAGAAGAUCCCGGCCUCUGGAUCAGUAGAUGCACACAGCCAUUUUGUGCUACCUAUUUAUUUGCUCAACCGACAAUCAGAUAAUCUCUCAACUACUGUAACAUUUUGUGCUACGUACCUACCUAGAUUGAGCUCGAACAGUUUACUAGUACAAAGUAAAGUUAGCUGAUUAUGUUCUGACGAAAUGACGGACAAACAUGUAAAUUAAGCUCAAGAAUUAACAUGCAUAAUCGAAAAGCCUGACAAAGGCUAAUACCAGUGGGAACAACAGGUGUUAAACAUUCUGUCCCCCCAUACAACCUGAAUGAAUGAUGCACCAAUUUUAUAUGUCUGCACAUUUCUGAAUCCAAACCUGAAACAUCAACUGUAACUUUUUAUGCAGUACCGAACUGAUCAUACUGAAACAGUUUGAAACUGAUUAAGUUCUCACGAAAAUGGUACGGACAUACUCCAAGUUCACUACCUGCAUAUCUAAGCAUAACCGAACAUGCCUGACAAAGUCUAACACAAGCAUAAACAACAUACUUCAGUACUUCACCCUACAUUUAAUUUCGUCCCCCACAAGUUGACAGUUACGGGAAGGCAUAACAGGUGAUGACACAAAGAGGCAAAUGCAGCUUGCAUAUUGUAGCUAGGCCAAGCGGGGUGGCGGUGCGACGAACACUGCCCUCGUGCUGACGAGAUUAUCGACCUGCGCCAUCAGGCGCCUCCCAUGGAUGUACCUGGCCAGCGUGCUAGCGUUGCGUUUCGCCACGCCCACGACCAUGUUGCGUUGCCACACAUCCGCCACGUUGAUUAUCACACGCACCACAUUGUUGGCGUGCUGGUUGACCAUCAUACCCUGCACACCACCAGGCAACCAUACAAGAUUAUUAAUUAGUCAGUUAGUCCUCUUGUGAUCUACCAUUCUACCUCUUUGCUAGAUAGCUAGGCAUGUAAAACAACACAAUUAGUCUCACCAGGAUAUGCUCUUCAGUAUCACCAGCCCCCGUGUAGAGGAUCUCAGUUAUGAUAAUCUUGCGUUCAUGGUAGCUGCCGUAAAUUAGGAGCUUCUCGAUGACAUUUGAAGAAUACUCUUGGCGGCUCAGAUGUAUAAUCUGCCCCAUAAUUUCCUGCACAACAAUUUGUCGGUCGCCAGGCUCUCCAUGCUGCACAAUGUACUGCAUGCAACAUGUCAUAUAGUAAAUUUUUCGUUUCACUAAGAGAUUAUUUCAUCAAACACAAGUCACUCCACAGAUGAUUUACCUGCACAACAUAGUUACCGAAUUCGUGUGUUGACAGCUCGAUGACACGUUCGACAAUCUCCAUCACAAACGGAUACAGAAUUAGUGGAUCCUUGGAGAAUUGCAGCACUUUCUGGGAAGAUCAUGAAACAUGAGUAACGAACUAAUACAGUCAACAAAAGACAGAGAGAAACAGAAAAAAAAAAUUGAUACCAGAACACAACCUGAAUAACGUUGUAUCCGUAUUGAUGGGAGGAUAGAAUCUUUGCCUUCCCACGUAGGCUUCUAUAGAUGAAUUGUAUAUAUUGUGUUGGCACACAUUCCAUGCAUUUCUGAAUGACAUGGUUUGCAUGUUCAUCACAAACACAUUUCAGCAGGUUCCUAUUAAGCUCCAUGGCCAUCUCCAUCUGUUGGUCAAUGACGCCUAUUUCAAAAACCUGAAAAAGGAGAUAGUCAAGAAAAGUAUGAUUGAGAACAAUCUUAGAAAUACAUCUUAAUUCUAUACAAUCUGAUAUAUGUAGCAAUUAAAAGCCAAACUGUUCACUGUACCUUUUCGAUCACUUGACUACCGUGCUGAUGAAGGCUUAGGGCUAAGACAUGUCCGAUAAGAUUGCGGACGAGCUUGCUUCUAUAGGUUUCUGGUCCAUAGUCAAGAAGCUGAUGAAAAAGACACAAGGUAAGUACUAUAAUAAUGUAUGCUCGGGCUCGAUAAACCGUACAUUAUCAGUACUCCUAUAAGAUGAAAACCGGCAUAUAUGGGUUUGAGGAACAAACCUUCAUGAUAACAGAAUUGGCGAACACAUCACAGACCAGUGUGGACACUUGAGGCGUCAUUUCAGUAUAUAGCAUCACUACUUCCCCGGUAGUUGUUAUGUCAAGCUGCUUUGUUAUGAAACAGCUUCCCACUGGAUGGACACUGCAUGUAAAAUACACCAAAGGAUUUAGCCAGAAUAUCGCAAUAUUAACUAUUUCUAAGUCGAUGAUAACAAACUUUUGAUUCAAUCGUUGAAAUUCGUGUAAGAUUAAUGUAAGUUUGAUGGAUAAGAAAAUUUUUGUUGGAUGGCUAGGAUUGUCGAUUGAAAAAUAGACACUCCCAUAAUCUUAUGGACAUAUAUAUUAACAGAAACUUUUUUUGGACAAUGGACUUGAGGGUGUAUAGGACGCACACCUGAGAUCACAAAUGUGGCCCUUGACAUGAAUGAGGCGCACAGGAUUGUUCCCUGGAUACUUGAUCCGGUGAAGAAGGGAACAAAAAGCUGAGUUCCUGCUGUUUAUUCCUGUACCCAGAAAACUAUGGAUAUUGUCGCCUCUGCCGCUAGCGUAUGCCGUCUCGACAUCACGAGCAUAGUGAUUCUUGAAAGCUUCCUGAGACUGUUGGAAGAGUUUAGCGGCAACCUCCUGGUCUGGCUCAAAAAGGGCACGGAGACAUCCCAUCUGAUACGCCAUCAUCUCAGGGAAAUGUCUUGGUGGCACACUCCUUGAAGAAGAAGAAGACUGAACAGGAGAAUUUAGGGCAGCCUCCUUAUUUGGUAAUGCAGUUUGGGAGUUUUGCUCGGCAGAAUCCAGUGUACUUGUUGAAGCAGCUGAAGAGAUAGAAGAAGACAGUACAGGCAAAACUGCUCCAAUGUCAUGCAUAUCGAAGCUGUUGGUAUCUCUGUCUUCAGCAUUUGUAGGCACGUCCUGAUGAUCAUCUGAAGUCACAACUUCACUGCUUGGAUCAACCUGCAAAGCAAACGUCAAUGUUUGAACAGUAACAGGAAUUGCAGAAGGAACAAAUGCUAUCAACAGGUAAAAAAGAUAGGAUAAAGACAGUAUCUAAAUAAUAUGACCGUUGGAUCUAGCUUGAAUAAUUUAAUUGAAAUGGACGGCUGAGAUAUAAUUUGAAAAACAUACGUAGGCAUGAAUUCAUCGCGAAAGACUCUGCGUUGGACAAGAUCUGGCCUUAACUGAGUUUUUGAUAUGUAUAUAUUUGAUUAGAAUCCAACAAGCUUACAGUUCUGUUGUUUGAGCCCAAACAGAUAUGCCAGUAGAAAAAAAAAAGUAAAAAAAAAUGAAUAUCUUAAGCCACGUUAUAUUCUUCAGGCUUCUACUACAAGUUUCGUACAUUGCAAAGAAAGAAGACUAACACACAGAUAUUAUUUUUUUUCGAAAAGGGGGAGGGAUCCCGGACUAACACACAGAUAUGCAUACUCCUUCAUUCAAAAAUAAAUCUAGGGACAAAGAAGCAAGAGUAGUAGACGAGUUCAGUAGAAGUAUAAGGAAUUUAUUUCUAGCUAGGACUAGCACGUUUACAUUCUAGCUGUAAUUAGUACUCUUAAUGAAACUCUCAUAGAUAUGGGUUAAUAAAAGAGGAACUCAGCUAGAUAGCUUUGAUCCUAAAUUUUUACAAGAAUUUGUAUGUACUCAUGAAACCAAAAAAGCUUAUUAAUCUCUGUCUGAUGCUUGGCUCAAUAGUAUAAUUGUAAAGCAUAAAGGGUAAUGUUUGGUUAGGAUGGGGCGUUGCACCCUCUAUAUGGGGCUGUCCAUAUGCUCUGAGAUUUACACCCGCAUUGAGGAAACAAUGCAGUCAUGAAUCUUAGUCUCACAGCAUAUGGACGGUCCCAGUGCCAGAUAGAGGGUGCAGUGCACCCCAACUAAAACAAUUGGCAAGCAUAAAUUAUCUGAUUUUGACACCAUCUAAAGGAUCCUAUGGAGGGUUACUUAUGGGAGUGAAGAAGAGAGAGAGGGAUUCCACACUUGAAUGCUCUUAUUAUAUAAGGAAACUCGCUAUAAGUGGAAUUUGGUAAAUUUUUAUGUUGUUCCUCAUGCUAGAGAUAAGAGAAAGUUCUUGGUGGAGUUAGUUCAGAUUAUUAUUAUUAUUAACUGCAAUACUGAGACUAUAGUACGUUAUGGGAGGUGACUUUAGUUUGGUUUGAAAAAAUAGUGAAAGAAAUAGAGAUAAUAAACCUUAUAAAUGGUCCUUUUUAUUUAAUGCUAUUAUUGAACAUUGGCGGCUCAAGAAGCUGGAAUUGUCUAGUAGGAGCUAUACCUGUCCAGUAAUCAGUUAGAUCCUAUUUUUCACACGGUAGAUAUAGUUAUUGUUAGUAUAGAGUGCGUGUUGGAUGAUGACCAUAAGAAUAUUUCUUUUAUCGGGAAAACAGCAGGAGGUGCUCUGCUGCACUUUUAUGAAAACAGAAUAAUGUUACAAUCUAUUUACAAUUUACAGGCAGGCAAAGCAAAAUAAAUUAAAAAUUCCUUUCAAGCAAUUUUACAAUAGAAGAAAUUAAACAUGUUGUCUUUUCCAUGGCUCAUAACAGGGCUUGUGGGCCUAAUGGCUUCCCUACAGAAUUUUACCGUAAAUUUUGGCCCUUAAUAUGUAUGAUAUCACCUACUAUUUGUUUAAAGAUGUUAGUGCAAGGGGCCUAGAUAUAUAUCUCUAGAUUUAAAUGGCAUAAUUACUUUGAUACCUAAAGGGAAAGGGCCAAGUAGAAUUCAAAUGUAUCUCCCACACGCUCGAGCUGAUGGCGACUCAGAGAGUCACCGACAACAUUGACGAUGGUUACAACGUUGGCGACCUUGAGAAUUGGGUGAUGCCAUCUAGCUAUUGCUACCCUACUUUGUCGCGAGUGACCACCGUAGCCACCUAGGCAAGUUAGGCAACAAAGGAGGGGACACAGAGUCGCGACGGCGGGCAGGAAGCGGUGGUGCAUUGGACGGACUCUCUCAACGCCACACAGUAAGAACUCAUCUCACACCCACAUUUGUAUGCCCAAAUUCCCAAAUUAAACACUAACCCCUAGAACUCACCUCUUCAAACCAAUCACGGGGAAGGCUGAUGCAACUUGAAUCAUCGCUUCGGGACACCAUGUCUAGGAUGGCGUGGAGAAUACCGAGACGGCGACAGAGGAGGGUGCGUGGCGGCUGCUACCUAGGGUUUCUAUGCGGGAGUGAGGAGGGGGGGGGGGGUGAGGGUGGUCGGCCAACCUGGUUGGGUCCAGGCCGAUAUGCAAAGGGGCUCGGACCGGUUCGCCACGCUAGUGCCACACUAGAUCUGACGGGUGGCAGCCCGUGCUAGAUAUCCUUUGAAAACACGAUGAAUCGAGAUACGAGUGGCUUCCCUUGCCCGUAUACCCAAACCGGUGUUCAUUUGAAAAAAAAACAAGUGGUUAAUUAUGUUAGACAAUUACCCCUUGUGGUGAUUUGAGUAAUUUACUCUUUGCAAUAUGCAUGCCACCAUUUUCCUUUUGGAGAAUGAUUUGAAUAGCGCUAGAAACUUAAGAUUUUGGAGCAGAGUGUUCAGUAGGGUGAAUUGCAAAGGAACAGCAUGGAACGUACCGAAGCUGAAGAGGGCACCACCCUUUUUUUUAAUUUAUUACUUUGUACAUAAUACAAGCAGCACACAGCAGGCUCUAAAAGGAAAAGAUACAAAAAAAAGGACUGGAUCAAGUUUGUGACUCCAGGAUGGCCAUCACCAUAUUAAAGUGGCAACAACAACAAGAUGGAGGCCCAUCUCUUUUUUUUUACAGCAAAAAACCUGAUGGUGGCCCAUCUCUCAUCUAUCGGGAGGCACCAAUGAAAAAAAAAAGGAUAGACAGAAAAGAGGUAGUAUUCCACUAGUAGAUAAAUCCUGGGCCACUAGUAGAUAAAUCCUGGGCCAGGCCCUUCUAGCUAUACAAAGUAAGGCCCAUCACUUGUUCCAGCAAGAGGCGACAAGCAUGGAGACGCAUCGGCGCAUGAUGUAGAGCCUUGCCCGCUGCUCCCUCGCCGCGCUCGCCACCCUCACCGGCAACGACGCCGACCGCCGGAGCUCUUUUCUCUUACUCCGGCCAUCUCCUUUCUGAUCCAUCUUGCAAUUACCCGGCCGGCUUUCGACGCCGACGACCUUCUUCUGCUGCUGCUUCGUUGCUGCAGUCUCCAUCUUAUUGCUACUACAAUUUUGCUUCUCCAUCGAUCCCCUUCCUUCCUUAAUUUUGGUCUUCUUCUUCUUCCUCUUGUUACUUGUGGUGUGUUUGCUUAUUUGCAGUGGAGCUAGCUAAGCUAAGCUAGUUUGGAGCUCUGGCCGGCGCCUAUGGCGGAGAUUGUAGGACAGGUGCUAUUUAUAGCGUCCAAACUCAUGACUAAGUACGUAGUACCAGUCGUUAGUUAGGAACUUAAUCAGGGUAAAAAAAAUUAGUAUGCAGGAGCAUCUUUAGCCAUGCGUGUCUCCACGAUAAGAAUCAUGAGGGUCCCACACCCUUCUUGGCCUGCUAAAACUAUAUACAGUAAAAUAUGCUAAUUAAGCUAGCUGAUCGAUAGUUAAUUAGGCCUGCUAAAACCAUUAAGAUUUGUUGGAAAUAUAAUUUGGGAAUCUCUUUCUCUUGCAUGUGUGUUGGAAAUAUAUAUAACCAAGAGCAUCUACAGAUGCAUGCAUGGUGCCAGUUUGACACUCUUUGAUCGUCCGUCCUAUAGAUAGAAAUUAAUAGAGGUGUUAAUCUAGAGGUAAUCUCAUUUGUCUUUUGUCCUUUGAUGCAAUCAAAAUGCUAACUCUAGACUCUAGAGUAUGCACACAUACCCUGUCCGUCAAAUUAUUUGAUUUCUUAAGGCACGACUUACCAAAUGAUCAAAAUGGUACAUAGCGCGACUAUCAUAUUGUUUUAAUUACCUGUAAUUUUUCGCAAAGCAGAUUUGAACAGUGGAAGUAUACAGUGGAGGCGCAACAUGUAUAUAACCUAGCUAGCUAGGAGCUCAUCGAGAAUCCACACAUGAUCCUGGCUAGCUAGGGAGGAGCACCAGUUUAUACUGCGUGCGUAUCGGAUCCAGUGACCAUUAAUCAACCAUGCACAUGUGGAUGCAUGCAUGUUGACAAAAGAGGAGGAGGAAGAGAUAUUAAUUGCUGUCAUUUGUGUUAUACAAUCACAUAAUCAUUCAUCAUCAACAACAAAUCAAACAAUCAGUACGAGGUAUAAAAUAAUUAAGCUUAAUUAGAUGGUGUACGUGGUGAGGGUUGACCAGCCAACACAUGCAGCAUCUAAAUAAAUUUCUGCAUAAACUCAAGUAUAUAUAGUACUAGUAUGUAUAUUUGGAACAUUUUAUGGGGAGCUGAUCAUCCAAUUCAGAUCGAUGUGUUCUGCAGAGACACACCGUGUGUAUGGGAAACACAGCUAACAACAAGGUGAAACUAGCUAAUUUUGAUCUGAUGGAGCAGUUAGUUAAUUAACCAAUUAACCAAUUCACUUCAGACAGGCAGCCGAAAGGUAGGAGACAAAGACUCGAGUGUACUUGAAAGUUUAUAAAUAAAUUAUAUAGCACUCUGAUCUAAGAGCUAGAACGAUGAAAUCAUCAUCUAGUGACUAAUUUUACUAUAACAUACAUAUAUAUUGCACAUUCAUUCUAAAGUACUGACCCACAUGCUCGCAUGCAUUGGCAUGUGGGGUUUGUUUUGGGGACACCAUGUGAUCCUAGCUAGCAAAAGGCAGUGACCAAAAGCUAGCUAGAUACUGCGUGAAGUUUUUUUUUUUGGUAAGAUACUGCGUGAAGUUUAAAUAUAUAUAAAUGAAGCUAGCUAGGUUCAAAACAUCCUGCUCAAUUUUGAUAACCAUACACUUAUAUGGUUAUGCAUGUAUACAGCUAGAGUCCCUUCUAGUCACGGUAUAUAUACCAAGUAAGACCCACAAAAAUAGUUUCAGAUAUACUUUUAUGAUUAUAUCCUUCUUAAGUAUUGGACCUUAUUAUUUUCACAUUUAAGAAAAAUCCAUUUCUAAAUGUCUUCGUUGCGAUAUAUAUGAACAUAUGUAGCACCUGUUUUGACUCAUAUAUUAGACAAGACUAGGUAAUAACUAGAUUUACACUUUACACACAAGCAUGCCACAUAACCACCUCUGAUACUAGAUAAUGAUUGAUAUAUCAGAUGCGCCUUGAUUGAUUGACAACUUUAGGUUAAUUAACUAUUGUUAAGACAGAUAGUCUUAAACGGCACAGAGAAAUGAUGGGUUUUCCUUUCAUCAUGCAUGCAUGAGAAGGCCAAGUGGCGACAAAAAACGAUCAACCGUCUUAAUCCUUGUCCAUUCCCCAACUCUAUACUUUUGCAAUCAUAUGCAUAACCACCACUAUAUAUAGAUAACUGUUUAUAUUCUUUCAUACGGGCUAGAUACUCAUUUUUUCCCCUUCUCCCUGAGAGUAAAUAAAUGGAGGAAAUAUUCUAUACUUGUUUAUCUUUGAAGAAGAGACCAGGACGCCACCUGAUCCUUUGUUUAAAGAUACCAUUAGCUGGCAAUGUGUAUAUACAAAGGCGAUAUACAAAAUGAUCAGUAGAAAGAAUCAUUCUGUUUUUUUUAACAGUAGAAAGAAUCAUUAUUUGUUUAUAACAACAAAUCUUUUUUAUAUUAUUUAGAACCACAAUCAGUAGAAGCAUCUGGACAUCUCCGUAAAAUAAAAGCAUCUGGACAUCGAUCCAUUUCUCUUUGAGCUUUUAACGAAGCCCUUGAACAGAAUGGAGUCUCAAAUUUGCUUCCAGAGAGCAAAAUAUAGCCCAAAGGCCUUAGUCCAGCCCAGUGGGCCAAAGAAUAGAAUGGUGCAUCAGUGUAUUCAGCCAAAAGGCCGAAGAAAAUAGCUAUCCCACCAUUCAGAAGAGGCUCCCCCCCCCCAAAAAAAAACAUUCAGAAGAAAAAAAAAAUUCACCAAUCCUCAGGGACGGCGGCGCCGGCGCUUUCACUGGCCUACCCUCGCCGGCGCCGGGCGCUCGACGGUGCCCGCUGACUGUCCUCCUCCUUUGAAGCCUGAUCCUCUCCCCGUCCUCCCCGGCUGGAUCCCCACCGGACAACCGGCGUUCGCUCGCUGCUCCCCGCCCCUCUAGUUACAGCUACAGGUAACUAACUAAUUCCACUGCCUUAAUCCAUGUAAGCUGCUAAGAAUUGCUCAAAUCUGCUGCUUCAGAGUGCUCGAUUGAUGUUGAAGCACUGCUAUCUGUCUAAUUCGAUCUGCAUUUUGCUCAUGUAUGAUGGAAUUUGGGGUGGGGGAUGGGGGGAUUUCUCAGCUUGGCACAUUUGUGCAGUGUUUUUUUUCUUUCUAGAAUACAUUUGUGCAGUGUUCAACAGCCACCAAAUCAGGAGUGAAUCGACCAAUUGCCACAUUUGUGCUGUGUUCAUGGCAUCAUGUAUUGAGAUAGUUGAGACUUCACAAUAAUGGUUUUUUGUUGCUUGCUUGCAUCUGUUUGCUUGCUAUUUUCAAUUCUGGAAUCAUUUUUAUGAAAAUUGAGCACUUUUUUAUCUGAUACACAUGUAGGUGGACAGGGAUAUGAUCCUCCAAGGUGGCUUGGUGAGGAAGAGCUACCUGAGGGAUAAUGGCUGGUAAUUACUAGAAAAAGUGCUCCUGUGCCCAAUGAUGCUGUUGCACUUCAUACUGUCUUCUCUUUUAAUAUUGAGACUCAUCUGAUCACCUGGCUACCAUAUCCUCGUAUAUGGUGUUUGUCUGUUGUUUUUUUCUGUUGCAUUUUGGAAUCUCAUAUGUGUUAUUGUCCCCUUGGAUAUUUUGAUGGUAUAUAGACAUUUGUACAU